CCCUAUCGCAAUCCCAUCCACAACGUCGUCAGGUUCUCUACCUCCAGAGGUGGCAUAGGACUAGCUUCAAGAGGUGCCCAUCGGAUCAUUAUGCACCCAGCACCCUAUCGCAAUCCCAUCCACAACGUCGUCAGGUUCUCUACCUCCAGAGGUGGCAUAGGACUAGCUUCAAGAGGCACGGAAGUGCAGGCCACCACCGGAGGUCACCACGUCGCCCUGAAACCUCCAAGAUGGAGCGCCGCCACCACCUCAAGCUUCGACACCGGGCCCUGCCGCUGGUGCACCACGGGGGCCACGCCCAUCCCGUGCCCCUGCGAUGAACUCCUGCUCUGCGGGUCCCCGCCGCUGCCCCUCACCUUGCUCACUGACAUGGCCGCCGGCUAGAUUCCGGAAGUGUCUCUCGUGGCCAAUGCGUCCUCAAGUGUGCUUGACAACCUUUGAGUUUGUUCUCUUCAUCAUUUUUUUUUUUUUUUUUUUUUUUUUUUUUGCUUUGGGCUCCAAGAUCUGCACAUGUGAGGACUGGCUGAUUGGUGGAACAUUAGCUACUAGACAAAGAAAAACCUUGCGAAACCCAUAUUUUAAGUUUGUCAGGUUUCCGAACUUCCACUGUUCCAUGCUUGCUGAUUCUGAUUCGGUGGAACCUGAAGAUUUGGGACACUAUAUCCAGUAUGUAGUUAGUUUAGUUACUAAAUCGACAAUGUUAGUAAAUCACAUGUAAAAUGCCAAGGGCAUGAGAGAUUCACUCCUUCAGUAAAUGAUAUCUAGGCAGUUCAAUAGUAGAAGUUGUAGCUCGCUGAGUAGAUUACCAUUAUCGUUUUAGGUCCAGCGAGAAUAAAUUGAGAAUCACAACAUUUUCCGAGUAAUUUGUUGGUUAUUGCAAAAUUAAGUUUGAACUUGUCAGCAGCUUCAGUAGCUCCAUUGUUGUUGCUUGGGCAAUACCGCAAUACUCCUGCACACCUGCCCAUAUAUCUUGUAUUUAUAUGAGGAUGAAUUCUUGCAGGCAAGAGAAAGGGCACAAAGGUGAUGACUUAUUUUAGAUCUUUAGGAUGAAAGCUUGGAAAGGGACUUGGCAUGAGUUGAUAUAGCUGGUAUUGUCAUGUAUAGUGGCUUUGGAUUGCAAAUGCUACAUUUGAUCAAGACCGUAGCAGCCCAUAUCUGGCGAAGCUCAUAAUUUUGCAUGACUACGGACUUCAUAUUGUUCAACAGCUAACAUUAACUGCUUUCUGAUGCAGAUCCCUAUGCAUUUUUAUCCAUCAGAUUAGAUAAUACAACAAGAAAAGCUUCCUCAGUGAAGCCAAGCAUGUUCAUCACAACACUAUACAACACAUCUGGAUGGACCUUAUCAUCAAUCACAAUACCAUGAAUGGAAGCUGCAAAGUUGUGGGUGUUUUGUUGGUCAAUUCAAGGGUCUCUUCAAUUACAUUUGUUGUCUAUCUUUAAUCUAAUUGCAGUAACUAGGCCGCCGGGCGUCCUAUUAGCCGGAAAAUCCUCAGGUACUUUUUAACGCAUGCUAUCUGGCCAUCUCUAAAGGGUUUUUUUUCCUGAAGCAAAUGCCCGUUUCCUAAGAAGCUUCUCCUUAUCCAGGGCCUGAAACAGCAUGCCUCGUUUUCAUAUGAAUUCACCGGUGAGCAUAUCAGUUCAAGUUCUGCAAAUAAAUAUACUCAAGAAAACAUAAUUGCACAAUGGUCUGUUUCAGAAGCAAUGAUAUAUCUCCAUAGGUCUGAAUGGGGACAUUCAGCCAUCUUCGAUACCAUAAUAAUCAUUCCUGAUAAUUUUUCAAGUUCAUUGGGUAGUUUGUUUUUCAAAGAAGUUCAUGGGGACAGAUGCUUGUUGGGUAUACCAAGUUAAAGAUUACACAGAGAGCCUCAUGCCCGAGUUUUAGCCACACCAGCACUUGGUAGGAAUGCAUAGAAUCGCAAGUAAGAGGACUAUGGAGGCUGGCAAGGAGCAAGCGGAGCGUAGGUGUUCCUGUAGAUGUUCUUGAGAAACUACAUCGUAAAGUCCCUAAGCUGACUAUCCAUGCUUCUUAACAACUCCGCUAUUUCUGCAAGGAAAGGUACUUUUUAACGCAUGCUAUCUGGACAUCUCUAAAGGGUCUUUUUCCUGAAGCAAAUGCCCGUUUCCUAAGAAGCUUCUCCUUAUCCAAGGCCUGAAACAGCAUGCCUCGUUUUCAUAUGAAUUCACCGGUGAGUAUAUCAGUUCAAGUUCUGCAAAUAAAUAUACUCAAGAAAACAUAAUUGCACAAUGGUCUUUUUCAGAAGCAAUGAUAUAUCUCCAUAGGUCUGAAUGGGGACAUUCAGCCAUCUUCGAUAUCAUAAUAAUCAUUCAUAAUAAUUUUUCAAGUUCAUUGGGUAGUUUGUUUUUCAAAGAAGUUCAACUAUUGGUUAGGUACAAGUCAGAGGUGCUUGGUAAUCAAUUGCUAGAUUGUUUUCUUUGUGAGACACUCAUGGAAAUUUUAGAGGUUGCAGAAUCUUUGUCUGGUAAGCACUAGGCUAUAGUAGUUGUUUCUUUUUUGCACCUACUGAAAUUCUUAUUUUGUUGUCCACCAUGUUUUCUGCUGACAAUUCCGAAAAAUGUUCAAGAUAUCUGUUGUUUUACUUCAUCCAAUUUUCUUAGUCAUGUGUUGAAAUUUCUGAUAAUUAAUUUCAUUUUUUUAUCACACCCACGGGAGACAAACAAGUCCUCAGAGAAAGUAGCAGGGGUACAUGUGAUGAACCGGCACUACGUGGAGAACUUGGAUACGUUGGACCUGGAGACAAAGAGUAUAUGCAUCAUGUCCAAGCCUAUAAUCUGGUCAUUGAUCAGUUGCCACAUACAUAGGUGACUUGAUGUCAAGAUUCCUUGCCAAGGAGCAAACAUUUGUAGGAACACACAUGUGUUGACACACGAGUAGUUGACAUAGUAUAUUUUGAACAAAAAAAAUUAUGUUUGUUAUUUGUUAAGCAACACACAUGUCACUUCAGAUGGAGGAAAGUAUGUUUGUCACACAUGGUAA